UGCCAGCCGCCGCGGUAACACGAACCGGGCAAACGUUAUUCGGAAUCACUGGGCUUAAAGGGUGCGUAGGCGGCGCUAUCAGUCGGGUGUGAAAUCCCACGGCUCAACCGUGGAACUGCGCCCGAUACUGUAGUGCUUGAGGGAGAUAGAGGUGAGCGGAACGAAUGGUGGAGCGGUGAAAUGCGUUGAUAUCAUUCGGAACACCCGUGGCGAAAGCGGCUCACCGGGUCUCUUCUGACGCUGAGGCACGAAAGCUAGGGUAGCAAAUGGGAUUAGAUA
rnacentral:rRNA from 1 species